ensembl:snRNA U4 U4 spliceosomal RNA
AGCUUUGCGCAGUGGCAGUAUCGUAGCCAAUGAGGUUUAUCCGAGGCGCGAUUAUUGCUAAUAAGAUUUCUCCUUUGACCCAUGGACUAUUUAGAUGUUGCCUAGUUUCCAAAUAUUUGGGAUUUUUCUAGAAAU